UUUUAGUUCUUUUUGCGAAGUGGGCUCGUGGGUUGGCAGUAUGAGAGUUGUAAUGGCCCGACUGUUGAGUGAGGGGGAGCAGGGGAUCCCAACGGCUUGCGCUGCCUUUGCGCAGCAGCCGGCGGGCGGCCACGUCGCGGCCUGGCUGGGGUAGGAGAGGGCGGUCCCCAGUGCAGUUGGGUGAACUACCGUUGCACACUGGAGUUUCUGGUGUCUUUGCUUGGAACUGACCUAGCUCGUGGCAGGGGGAACUCGGCUAGCGGCCCCACAGCCCCUGCUGACUCAAAACAACUAAUGAACUCUGGAAGCCCAGCCAGGGACAAUGCACCUUCACAGAGAUUCUGCACUAAUCUGAGUGAAGGUCUAAGGUUUGGAAUCUCCCCCUCAUGGAGAGAAGCUUUGUAUGGCUGUCAUGCUUAGACAGUGAUUCCUGCAACUUGACCUUCAGGCUGGGAGAGGUGGAGAGCCAUGCCUGUUCUCCUUCCUUGCUAUGGAAUUUGCUGACACAAUAUCUUCCGCCUGGUGCUGGGCAUAUCCUAAGAACUUACAACUUUCCUGUAUUAUCCUGUGUGAGCAGCUGUCACCUUAUUGGGGGAAAAAUGCCUGAAAAUUAGGGGGCACUUCAAGUAGAUAGCUUCUAUUUCCUAUAUUUGUCUUAUAUACAAGUAUUUGCUUUUAUCAAAAUAAUUCCAAUAAAGCAUUUUAAAGUAAA
ensembl:lncRNA SNHG32 small nucleolar RNA host gene 32